AAAAUAAUAAUCUGCAGGAAACAAAAAGUUCUAAUUUAUCCGUCUUUAUGACAAAGCAUGCGAGAGGCACUGAGGAGCCUCUUGGUGAUCAUCUGCGAUCUAUCAACAUUAGAGCCUAAAAUAUGACGCAUCAGAUUGCUUUAUUGUUCAACUGAAUAACCUAAAGAUCCGGCGGCAUCAUCGCUUCAUCUCAUCCCCUCGCCCAGUCAAACUGCAGCCUCCCGUACGGAGUCUUGCCACUGGCAUUCAGAGUGAAGAUGUUCUGUUGGGCGUUCAGCGGGAUCACGUGGUGGAACCGAAGCAGCCGAGGGUCCGGGGCGUCUGUCAUCCGAAUGUUCUGCACCACCCUCUGGUAGGCUGCUGCCUCGGCAGGUAAGAUCAGCGGGACGAUCGUGACACGCUGUCUGCCAUCGGGAGGCUUGACGGGAAGCCCUCUGGUGGACGGUGGAAAGCAGAGGCCGGGGAGAGGAACGCGCAGGUUCUUCCUCCGAUCAGGCUGUCCAAGGUCCAGUUGAGGAUCCUCUGGGUUUGUAGGGCAAGCUUUCAGAUGACAUGGUCCAAGGUCCGGUUGGGGUUGAGGGUUAACUGGUGUUGGAGAUAGCUUCAGAGGACGAGGGGUCCCUUUAGGUAGUAUAUAUGAGGCUAUCCUGGGUUCUGUGGGUAUGGAAAGGUACAUGUAAGACACAGAAUACAUGACGAGUGGUGAUUUAAAAAUACAAUAAGAAGGAUUGGCCAUCAGGCAGGAACAGUAUCGAAUUUCUUUCCGAAACAUCCACUCAUAAUUUUGCCAGGUUUGCUUGUUUAAGUUUGCUAGAUUGAAUUGUGUCAGUGUCUCUGAUCACCAGGGUCCCUUUAGAAAAACUCUCAUUCUACUGCAGCAAGAUGUGACUGUCUGCCCUUAGGGCCCCUAGGCUUAGGGUUGCCCUAACCCUAACCCAGUCGUAUCUGGUCUCCCGGGCUUCCCUUCCCGCAAAACUCUGGUUGUCCUCAAACCCUUCUAACUUAUGAAAAAUUUGGUUCCCACACGUGGUUCUUGCAUGGGGCCCAACGUAUUUUUACAUUGAAUGAAUACAAAGAGUGAGCUCUGUAGUCUUGGGACAGAAACCUUGCUUUGAAAGAACCUCCUCCGGAGACAGCAGAGGAGAUUCCUCUGGUGGCUCUGAGCUCACUGAAGUCACUGAGGAAGAAAUGUUACAAAAUGAGAAAUAUACAUGUUCAUAAAGUGUGCAGAAGAUCUCCAUCUCUAAUGUUGGUGGUCUUAUUUACUCGUACCGUUGUUGGUUAUAAAAGUGGAUGUUCUCUGUUCACUGAGAUGUUGGAGUGGAGGUGUGAUCUGUUUAUGAAGCUUCAGUUCUUGGAGAUGAUUGUACAGGUUCUUCUGCCGAUCAGACUUCAGCGCCCCAAAAUUACCCUGAACGAUGGAGGACGUAGAAGCAAGAAGAUGCUCGGUGAUCGUAGACAGUUUUCCAAAGUUUAGUGAGGUUUUGGUGCCAGCUUUAUAUUCCUUGUAGAGCUGCAGGACCUUGUCAUCCAAGGGUGCAUGUGUUUGGUUUCCAAUAAUGUUGUGUUGGGCGGAAGCUAGGAGGAACCUCUUAUCACUGAUUCGUGAGAACUCAGAAGGUCCAAGAUACGGUUGGGGUUGAGGAUCCUCUGGGUUUCGAGGGGGAGGCUUUGGAUGAUGAGGCCCAAGGUCCGUUGGUGGUUGAGGAUCCUCAGAGGCUGGAGGCUUUGGAUGAUGUGGCCCAAGGUCCGUUGGUGGUUGAGGAUCCUCAGAGGCUGGAGGCUUUGGAUGAUGUGGCCCAAGGUCCGUUGGUGGUUGAGGAUCCUCAGAGGCUGGAGGGGGAGGCUUUAGAUGAUGUGGCCCAAGAUCGGGUUGGGGUUGAGGGUUUUUUGGGGUCGAAGAAGAAAGUUUCAGGGGGCGAGGAGUCAUGUUCUGGGCCUCUACGGGUGGUUUGUAUGAGUCUAUCCUGGAUUCUGUGCUUAUGGAAAGGUGAAUAUAAAAAGGAAUAUAUCAUUUAAAGAGUGCUCGGCCUCCAGCUUGAGACAUCCAAUCGCCUCUAUUCAUC
ensembl:lncRNA